rnacentral:lncRNA from 1 species
GGUGAGCCGCCGAUGUAGCGUGGCCCAACGUGGGUGGGGAUCUCCUCUGCCACCUCCAUAAGCUCCAACCGACUAGUGAGAAGCUCUCGUUUGUGGAUACGUGAAUGAUUCGUUUGUGAGUGAUCCAAUAGUGUAUGAUUUGUUUGUGAAUGAUUCAUUCAAUUGAACUCAUGUGUUGUCUCUGUGGUGGAGUUGGAGCUCGAGGAGGUGGUGGUUGUGAGUGAUCCAAUAGUGUAUAAUUUGUUUGUGAAUGAUUCGUUUAUGAUUGUGUU